rnacentral:rRNA from 1 species
GGGUUGCGGACAGUGUCUGGUGGGUAGUUUGACUGGGGCGGUCUCCUCCUAAAGAGUAACGGAGGAGCACGAAGGUUGGCUAAUCCUGGUCGGACAUCAGGAGGUUAGUGCAAUGGCAUAAGCCAGCUUGACUGCGAGCGUGACGGCGCGAGCAGGUGCGAAAGCAGGUCAUAGUGAUCCGGUGGUUCUGAAUGGAAGGGCCAUCGCUCAACGGAUAAAAGGUACUCCGGGGAUAACAGGCUGAUACCGCCCAAGAGUUCAUAUCGACGGCGGUGUUUGGCACCUCGAUGUCGGCUCAUCACAUCCUGGGGCUGAAGUAGGUCCCAAGGGUAUGGCUGUUCGCCAUUUAAAGUGGUACGCGAGCUGGGUUUAGAACGUCGUGAGACAGUUCGGUCCCUAUCUGCCGUGGGCGCUGGAGAACUGAGGGGGGCUGCUCCUAGUACGAGAGGACCGGAGUGGACGCAUCACUGGUGUUCGGGUUGUCAUGCCAAUGGCACUGCCCGGUAGCUAAAUGCGGAAGAGAUAAGUGCUGAAAGCAUCUAAGCACGAAACUUGCCCCGAGAUGAGUUCUCCCUGACUCCUUGAGAGUCCUGAAGGAACGUUGAAGACGACGACGUUGAUAGGCCGGGUGUGUAAGCGCAGCGAUG